rnacentral:rRNA from 1 species
AUGAACGCUAGCGGCAGGCCUAAUACAUGCAAGUCGAGGGGUAACGAUAGACGCUUCGGUGUUGAUGACGACCGGCGCACGGGUGCGUAACGCGUAUGCAAUCUACCUACAGCAGAGGGAUAGCCCGUGGAAACAUGGAUUAAUACCUCAUAAUACAGGGGGCCCACCUGGGCAUAUUGUUAAAGAUUUAUCGGCUGUAGAUGAGCAUGCGUCCCAUUAGCUAGUUGGUACGGUAACGGCGUACCAAGGCGAUGAUGGGUAGGGGUUCUGAGAGGAUGAUCCCCACACUGGUACUGAGAUACGGACCAGACUCCUACGGGAGGCAGCAGUAGGGAAUAUUGGUCAAUGGACGAAAGUCUGAACCAGCCAUGCCGCGUGCAGGAAGACGGCCUUCUGGGUUGUAAACUGCUUUUCUCAGGGAAGAAAAAGGUCUUGCGAGACAAAUUGCCGGUACCUGAGGAAUAAGCACCGGCUAACUCCGUG